GACGAACGCUGGCGGCGUGCCUAAUACAUGCAAGUUGAGCGCUGAAGGUUGGUACUUGUACCAACUGGAUGAGCAGCGAACGGGUGAGUAACGCGUGGGGAAUCUGCCUUUGAGCGGGGGACAACAUUUGGAAACGAAUGCUAAUACCGCAUAAAAACUUUAAACACAAGUUUUAAGUUUGAAAGAUGCAAUUGCAUCACUCAAAGAUGAUCCCGCGUUGUAUUAGCUAGUUGGUGAGGUAAAGGCUCACCAAGGCGAUGAUACAUAGCCGACCUGAGAGGGUGAUCGGCCACAUUUGGACUGAGACACGGCCCAAACUCCUACGGGAGGCAGCAGUAGGGAAUCUUCGGCAAUGGACGAAAGUCUGACCGAGCAACGCCGCGUGAGUGAAGAAGGUUUUCGGAUCGUAAAACUCUGUUGGUAGAGAAGAACGUUGGUGAGAGUGGAAAGCUCAUCAAGUGACGGUAACUACCCAGAAAGGGACGGCUAACUACGUG
rnacentral:rRNA from 1 species